rnacentral:rRNA from 1 species
AACGAACGCUGGCGGCAUGCCUAACACAUGCAAGUCGAACGAAGGCUUCGGCCUUAGUGGCGCACGGGUGCGUAACGCGUGGGAACCUGCCCCUCGGUUCGGAAUAACAGUUAGAAAUGACUGCUAAUACCGGAUGAUGACUUCGGUCCAAAGAUUUAUCGCCGAGGGAUGGGCCCGCGUAGGAUUAGCUAGUUGGUGGGGUAAAGGCCUACCAAGGCGACGAUCCUUAGCUGGUCUGAGAGGAUGAUCAGCCACACUGGGACUGAGACACGGCCCAGACUCCUACGGGAGGCAGCAGUGGGGAAUCUUGGACAAGUGGGGGAAACCCUGAUCCAGCCAUGCCGCGUGAGGGAAGAAGGUCCUCUGGAUUGUAAACCUCUUUUGGCAGGAAACAAACCUGCGCUAUACGCGCAGCUGAGGGUACCUGCAGAAUAAGCACCGGCUAACUCCGUG